rnacentral:lncRNA from 1 species
CCGCAGUCUGCCGUUGGCACGAGAAAGGAGCACAGAAAGAGCCCCUCAGAUUCACGUGUGACCUCUGCAUGCUGGCUUGGGCAGGACUGGCUGGCCUCCGGGAGUCUGCACUGAGAGUGUCUUUCAUCUGGGAUCAGCCUCAAUCUAACCAAGUGGUGCACCCGAGGAGCUUGGCAUUAACCAACAACACACCACACUACACACCACACACCACAACAGCACACCCACACACACGCUCGAGACAGUGUGUGCCAUGCAGGGCCACACUGCUGCACCCACAGUGAGGGUGCCCAGGAGCCACGGUCUGUUGUGGGCACACCCUCACGUGCUGGAGGCUCGGUCACUCGGAGUCCCGCCUUGGGGCAUCAGCUCCGUUUGCUAAUGGGACACAGAUGCUCAGAAAGGCUAAAUGAUUCAGUAAGCAGAAGCCAUCCAAGUGAGAAUGGAGCAUGGAAUCCAAACCCGCACUGCAGGAGAGGCCUCUUCCUCUUCCGUGUGCUCCCAAGGAGGCAGGCCUGUGGGAACAGAGGCCUCACCCCGCCAGUGGCCCUGGGCCUGCAUCUGGACAGCCAGGCCAGCCUGUCUCCAGUCUGAGUGCUUCUGCCCCUCGGGUUUUGUGAGAUGGGAACCAGAGCAGAAGAUGGUGGCUGCCGAGUUUUAUCUUGGCAAAGUAAGGAUUUUUAAAAACCAACAUAAUUCCCAAAUGAAUAUAUACUGUCUACUACUCCCUAAGUUCAUAAAAGGAGAAAAUAAAAAAGAACAGUGACUAAAUGAGAG